rnacentral:rRNA from 1 species
UACGGGGGGGGCAAGCGUUGUCCGGAAUUAUUGGGCGUAAAGAGCUCGUAGGCGGUGUGUCGCGUCGGCCGUGAAAACCUGCAGCUUAACUGUGGGCUUGCGGUCGAUACGGGCAUCACUGGAGUUCGGCAGGGGAGACUGGAAUUCCUGGUGUAGCGGUGAAAUGCGCAGAUAUCAGGAAGAACACCCGUGGCGAAGGCGGCUCUCUGGGACGGUACUGACGCUGAGACGCGAAAGCGUGGGGAGCGAACAGG